rnacentral:rRNA from 1 species
AACGAACGCUGGCGGCAGGCCUAACACAUGCAAGUCGAACGCCCUAGCAAUAGGGAGUGGCAGACGGGUGAGUAACACGUGGGAACCUUCCCUGUAGUACGGAAUAGCCCAGGGAAACUUGGAGUAAUACCGUAUACGCCCGAAAGGGGAAAGAUUUAUCGCUAUAGGAUGGGCCCGCGUAGGAUUAGCUAGUUGGUGAGGUAAUGGCUCACCAAGGCGACGAUCCUUAGCUGGUUUGAGAGAACGACCAGCCACACUGGGACUGAGACACGGCCCAGACUCCUACAGGAGGCAGCAGUGGGGGAAUAUUGGACAAUGGGCGCAAGCCUGAUCCAGCCAUGCCGCGUGAGUGAUGAAGGCCUUAGGGUUGUAAAGCUCUUUUUGGCGGGACGAUAAUGACGGUACCCGCAGAAUAAGUCCCGGCUAACUUCGUGCCAGCCGCCGCCGUAAC